rnacentral:rRNA from 1 species
CCGCAAAACUUUCAACAACGGAUCUCUUGGUUCCGGCAUCGAUGAAGAACGCAGCGAAAUGCGAUAAGUAAUGUGAAUUGCAGAACUCAGUGAAUCAUCGAAUCUUUGAACGCACAUUGCGCCCCCCGGCACCCCCGGGGGGCAUGCCCGUCCGAGCGUCAUUGACCCCCUUCGAGCCCCCGGGAGNNAUGCCCCCAGGG